GAAAACGUAAAUAAGAAAAAAAGAAGGGGAAAAAGAAAUAAUAGUAACAAAGGCCACCCCAAUGGCUUAUUAGCUUCCCCGUUUAUAUUGGGCCAUGACUAUGGAAACAUAAAAUCUGUCUCCCCCCACCCCUUUCCUUCUUCUCUGUAUCUGUCUAUCUCUCUUCUUCUCCCUCGUUUCUUCGCCGGAAACUUGCGUCAAUAAUCGGUCAUGCAUGCCGUCUGAUUGCUGCUAACGGAA
rnacentral:misc_RNA from 1 species